CUUGCUUCCUCAAGCUUCCUCAUACCCCUCGGCCUGAAUCACUCAAAAUUUGGGGUCUCAUUGUUUGCGUGGACACCGUCUCCGUAACACCGUCACCGCCCAAGUAGCAGAGCCGAUGUUGUUGAGAGGUUUUUCUGUGUGCCAAAGCGAGAGGCCCUGUCUUCUCUCUCUAGAUUUUGCACGACAAACCGCCGCCCGUGUAGAGGUGUGUGCGUGUGACGAAAAUUUAUAGAUGAAAUACGGGGGAAGCGGGGUUUGAAGUCUUUCGUUCGUCACACACACAUGCAUUUACCAGCGGAUAUCGCUGCACCGAGUAUAGCCAUCUCUCUCGAUCCACCAUGAUUUUUCUGCUAUCGCGCUCAUCCGGGUGUUAGGCAUCCUCAGUCUGUCCAGAUCUUUGCCUAUGGAAGGAUGUACUGAAGUGAGGUGCGAUUUCUUGUGCGACGCACUUUGCUCGUCUACGUUUUGGGCCGUGUUCCUUCUUCUUCAGUUAUGGAAUGAUUUAUCCUAGCAAAUUGUUGAGGUAAGUUUCAUGCUCACAUGUGUGCUUGUGCAGCUUCGUUCAACUAACCUUUGGCGUCUAAAAAGUUACAGGUGUGCGCGCUAUUUAUCAACGACUACCUGCUAGCCUCGUCAACAAUCUUCAGAGUGAGCGACGCAAAGAAAACGUUUUCCAGUUUUAAAAUAUUAAGCUCCCGGUGAGGACGUCAUUACUUAACAGAAGCCGGCUCAACACGCGCAGCUCCUGUUCAUGACGUCAUCACUAAACUGAAGCCAGCUGAACACGCGCCGCACGGAUGAACCGAUAAGAAAAUAAUUAAACAUAUGAAAAUUUAUCAGAAAAAAGAGCACCAGAAUGUGUUUUAUUAUCUUUCGACAAGAAGAUACUUUAAAACUAUAAUAGAACUGGUUUCUUUUUAUGAAAGGAACGAUUUGGGCGAAAACUUUGCUGGCCUAAAUCAACUUCUCCAAUGGCCUUUUAAAGAGGAAAUUGUUGUAGCCAUCUAUGAUUUUGCACCCAAUGAGCUCAAUCAACUACCAAUGCGCCAGGGAUGUCAGGUGAUUGUAAUUGGAAAAGAAGGAGACAGUAAAGGCUGGUGGCGUGGCAAAACAUUAGAAAAGGUUGGAUUUUUCCCCAAAGAGUAUGUACGGCCAGCAGUAAUCGGUGAAGUAUAAAUGAUCAAUUUAAAGUUCAUAACAUCCUGAACACAAUCCACUCAUAUAAAGAAUGAGAUAAUUGAGACGCUGUCAUGUAUUAAAGUUAGUGACUUCGUUAAUCAAAUACAGGACCUGUUCUUUUGUUUUAAUUACAAGGUUUGGCAGAUGGAUAAAGCAACAUUCAAUGCGACAACGAGUCUGAUUCGAACUUAUCUACAGCAGUCGAAUUAUAAUGAUGCCAUUUAAAAAAAGGUUAACUAGGAAGUGAUAUUCCACGUAUGGUUGUCAGUUUUUCAGGAAAGCUAAGUGAAAAACGAUUUUACGUGUUUUCAUCAUAAUAAAACAGAAUAACAUCGGGUAGAUGAUUUAAAAUGUGUUUAAAAAGUUUAACAGAUUUACAAAAAAAAAAAAGUUAAACAUGGCAUAAACUAGUAUUACAUAUGUAUGUGCUUUGAAUGUUUGAUGUGCAAGCAAUGUUUUGUAAAAGCAUGUUAUGAAUAAGCGCUAAGAAACGUAAAUAAUAAACAGAGCAACAACGAUUAAAAGAUAUAA